AGCAAAAUGAUGAAGUUUAAUGUUCUGAAAUUGGUGUGGAAACACAUAAAACAAUGGUCUUCAAAGUUCUCUGAUUGCU